AUUUUCCGCAAUGGGCGAAAGCCUGACGGAGCAACGCCGCGUGAGUGAUGAAGGCCUUCGGGUUGUAAAGCUCUGUCGGAGGGAACGAAGAUCUGACGGUACCCUCCAAGAAAGCCCCGGCUAACUUCGUGCCAGCAGCCGCGGUAAUACGAAGGGGGCUAGCGUUGUUCGGAAUUACUGGGCGUAAAGCGCACGUAGGCGGCUUUGUAAGUUAGAGGUGAAAGCCCGGAGCUCAACUCCGGAACUGCCUUUAAGACUGCAUCGCUCGAACGUCGGAGAGGUAAGUGGAAUUCCGAGUGUAGAGGUGAAAUUCGUAGAUAUUCGGAAGAACACCAGUGGCGAAGGCGACUCACUGGACACAUAUUGACGCUGAGGUGCGAAAGCGUGGGGAGCAAAC
rnacentral:rRNA from 1 species